GUCCAACAUCUGGAAACCAUAGACUGCAAUAAUAUGCUGGCAACAAGGUGACUUUUUUUACUCUCAGGGGUCAGGAAGGGCACGUGAACUGUCACCAGUGGAAAUAUUUUUUGAAUUUUAACAGAUAAGAUUGGUAAAAUCAUGUAAAACAGACCGAUUUAUUUUUGGGUUGUGUGAACAGCUAGGUAUUCAAGGUCAAAAACAUCUUAUAGGUUAAAUACAUAGACAGUAAAAUAAUAGACACAGCCACGCAGUAGACUACCACGGAGACCAGUGAAGAAGAAGCACUUUCCGAUGAUGGCUAAGCGUUACUACGCAGCUGCAAAGUGAGCUUGACGACGUAGAUGUGACGUUGCAACCUGACUGAAAGCUGUAAGUCUUCUAGCUGUGCCAAGAUGAAAUCUCAAUCAUUCCGAACCUUGCAAAGACGGAGAGCCUGCUCCCAGCGAGGAUGUUAAAAGUGAUGCGAGUAACAGAUAUGACAACGGAGAAGCCGAGGCUGGAAAAUGAGAAAUCCUGGGUUCCAUAGCAUCAGUUGUAAACAAUGUCAGUUACUUAUUACAUGCUGAACAGCUGUAUAUGUCAAGUGGAGGGUCCUAGACAUGAACAGCUUCAAGAAACAACGGAGUGUGUUUUUCUCAUUUUCCUCCAGGACAUAAUGUUAACUGUGUUGUUUAAAGCAACUACAACCCUCUCUUUAAUGUCUGCAUCCCACAAUUGUAUUGUCUUGAACUACAUAUAUGACUUAACAUAAAUAAAGACUAUGCUAUGAUAAUGUUUAAUUGAGACAGUAAUUCUAUGUCAGGCAGUUUGGCACAAUUCAGAC